GCCCUCAUAGCUCAGUGGUAGAGCGUGCCACUCGUAUUCUCGAAUCGUGAAAUGGUGAGGUCGGUUGUUCAAUCCAGCCUGCGGGCA